UGUUUGUGUCUUGCAGGGCGGCCGCCAUCAUGGAAGAAGCCCUUGGAGGCUGCAGUGCGCAGACUCCGCGCAGCCGGAUGGCGGGGCCGCCGCUGCGGGGACCAGAAGUUCCAACCGGCCCAGGAAGUGCCGUCAGAUGCGACAGCUGACGAGAAUUCCUGGCUGAUGGCAGUCCACAAGCCCCCGCACGCUGUGCUGUGAGGAUUAGGCGGUGGCAAACUGCCGCUGACACUGCACUCAGCCAGGUCGCCGUGAGAGAGUGGCCGGGUAUGAGAUGCGGGAGCCCUGUCCCUCAGGAUGGCAGCCUUCGCCCGCCGAGAGUUCAGCUGCGGUCUGUGGGGAGAAGUGACUGGACCGGCCCGACCUGGAGAGUUCUGGCAGGUGUGGUACCCGGAUGGGACUCCGGCCUUUAUUCGUUGCGCCACUUGCCAGGCUGCGGUGUCCUGGACUUCAGGGACUGCCGGUUUACCACAUGUCAUCUGCUUGGUGUAGGCUGAUGCCUUAAGAGAUGAGAACUGCUGGAGAAUGAGCAGUGAGGUCACAACUCGAGGUCUCUUCACCAGAGGAUACAGCUGGAGCGAAUCUGAAGGUGCAGACCUGUGGGCUGUCCACUAGUUUGGACAGAAAAAUCAGUAACAGUUGUAGAAAUGUGCCUCUUGUAUCAGUGCCCUACGACCUGUGAAUCUGCAUCCUAGGAGCACUAUUUAUUCAGUUAGAAGUUGGCUGUUGGGUUUUCUCCCUGGAAUAUGUCCCCAUGCAAUUACCAUAAACUUGCUAAUAAAAAUUACCUUUGAUAUU